rnacentral:rRNA from 1 species
GUCCACGCCGUAAACGAUGAGUGCUAGGUGUCACGGGCUUUGACCCUCGUGGUGCCGCAGCUAACGCGUUAAGCACUCCGCCUGGGGAGUACGGCCGCAAGGCUAAAACUCAAAGGAAUUGACGGGGGCCCGCACAAGCGGUGGAGCAUGUUGUUCAAUUCGACGCAACGCGAAGAACCUUACCUGGGCUAGAAAGUACGAGAAUCCGGGCGAAAGUUCGGAGUGCCUUUCGGGGAACUCGUAGUUAGGUGCUGCAUGGCUGUCGU